rnacentral:rRNA from 1 species
UUUUCACGACUGUAAGGCGGUCGUGGAAUAAGAGCUGGGCAAGACCGGUGCCAGCCGCCGCGGUAAUACCGGCAGCUCAAGUGAUGACCGAUAUUAUUGGGCCUAAAGCGUCCGUAGCCGGCCACGAAGGUUCAUCGGGAAAUCCGCCAGCUCAACUGGCGGGCGUCCGGUGAAAACCACGUGGCUUGGGACCGGAAGGCUCGAGGGGAACGUCCGGGGUAGGAGUGAAAUCCCGUAAUCCUGGACGGACCACCGAUGGCGAAAGCACCUCGAGAAGACGGAUCCGACGGUGAGGGACGAAAGCUAGGG